GCCGAAGUGGCGGAAUUGGCAGACGCGCACGACUCAAAAUCGUGUUCCCGAAAGGAGUGUGGGUUCGAGUCCCACCUUCGGCACCA
rnacentral:tRNA from 1 species